CGGGCUGUCGUAUAGUGGUAGUACGCGCCCAUGGGGUGGGUGUAGUCUGGGUUCGAUUCCCAGCAGCCCGACCA
rnacentral:tRNA from 3 species